rnacentral:lncRNA from 1 species
GAUUGGUGGAGCCCAGACCAACCGAGAAAGAUGGGUCCGCGUCUGAAACAAAGCACGCGAAGUGUUUUCCGAAGAACCGAGAAGGGGAAAAGCAGUUGGGGCAGCUUGUGUCCCGCUGCAAGGAGUAGGAGAGUCAGCUCUUCCCUUGCGCCCCACGCUACUCGUCGGGAUCUCCUGUUUGUCGCGCACGCCUCGGAACGGCUUUCUGCAGGAGCUGAGUCCUCGCUGAACUUCGACUGAGACUUCUCUUGCUGUUUCCUACAGCUAGAACCUGGAUAAAGAAUCGACGCAUCUUCAUUUACAGCAAACCCUCUGAUCCUUGUGGAUGACUGGCUUGCUGUUCUUGGAUGAGCUAAUUCAGAAGAAAAAAUGGCACUUCAACAGAAUUUGGCAGGAGGAGACAGAACCAGAACCAGAAGCAGAACAUAAGGGAAUGGAACAUUGGGCUGGAUGAUCUCAGAGAUGAGCUCAGCUCAUUCCCUCGUAUCCCAGCUUCGCUCCCGGACAAUGCAAAGUCAGUCUCUCACCUUGCUGCCACUGUGUGGCCCCUUUCCAAAGAUGGCCAGUCUCGAAGGAGAGGCUGGACAAAAAGACAGUAGUUGGAGUUCCCGUUGUGACUCAGCAGUAACAAACUCGACUAGUAUCCAUGAGGAUGCAGGUUCGAUCCAUGGCCUUGCUCUGUGGGUUAAGCAUCUGACAAUACCGUGAGCUGUGGUGUAGGCUGCAGACUUGGCUGGAAUCAGGCGUUGCUGUGGCUGUGGAAUAGGCCACCAGCUGUGGCUCCAGUUCGACCCCUAGCCUGGGAACUUCCAUAUGCCGAGGGUGCGGCCCUAAAAAG